CCUACGGGCGGCAGCAGUGAGGAAUAUUGGUCAAUGGACGCAAGCCUGAACCAGCCAUGCCGCGUGCAGGAAGACGGCCCUAUGAGUUGUAAACUUCUUUUGUACGAGGGUAAAUCCCGAUACGUGUAUCGGGUUGAAAGUAUCGUACGAAUAAGGAUCGGCUAACUCCGUACCAGCAGCCGCGGUAAUACGGAGGAUUCAAGCGUUAUCCGGAUUUAUUGGGGUUAAAGGGUGCGUAGGCGGUUCGAUAAGUUAGAGGUGAAAUCACGGGGCUCAACCCCGGCACGGCCGUUGAUACUGUCGGCCUUGAGUUUAGUUGCGGUAGGCGGAAUGUAUGGUGUAGCGGUGAAAUGCAUAGAGAUCACACAGAACCCCGAUUGCGAAGGCAGCUUACCAGACUACGACUGACGCUGAGGCACGAAAGCGUGGGGAGCAAACAGGAUUAGAUACCCCUGUAGUC
rnacentral:rRNA from 1 species